rnacentral:rRNA from 1 species
GAUGAACGCUGACAGAAUGCUUAACACAUGCAAGUCAACUGUGGCGGACGGGUGAGUAACGCGUAAAGAACUUGCCUCACAGAUAGGGACAACUUUUGGAAACGAAUGCUAAUACCUGAUACUGUGAGAGAGCUUUUCGUCCCAUUAGCUAGUUGGAGAGGUAACGGCUCACCAAUGCGAUGAUGGGUAGCCGGCCUGAGAGGGUGGUCGGCCACAAGCGGACUGAGAGACGGCCCGUACUCCUACGUGCGGCAGGAGUGAGGAAUAAUGGACAAUGUACCAAAGUCUGAUCCAGCAAUUAUGUGGGCACGAUGAAGUUUUCGGAAUGUAAAGUGCUUUCUGUUGAGAAGCAGUACCAACAGAAGAAGUGACGGCUAAAUACGUGCCAGCAGCCGCGGUAAUAC